AUUGAACGCUAGCGGGAUGCUUUACACAUGCAAGUCGAACGAGUGGCGGACUGGUGAGUAAUAUAUCGGAACGUGCCCAGUAGCGGGGGAUAACUACUCGAAAGAGUGGCUAAUACCGCAUUAUAUUGUAGCGGCCGAUACCGGCUUAGCUAGUUGGUGGGGUAAAGGCUCACCAAGGCAACGAUCCGUAACUGGUUUGAGAGGACGACCAGCCAACAUGGGACGGAGACACGGCCGAGACGCCUACGGGAGGCAGCAGUGGGGAAUUUUGGACAAUGGGGGAAACCCUGAUCCAGCCAUCCCGCGUGUAUGAGAAGGCCUUCGGGUUGUAAAGUACUUUUGGCAGAGAAGCGGUAUCUGCAGAAUAAGCACCGGCUAACUACGUGCCAGCCGCCACGGUAAUAC
rnacentral:rRNA from 1 species